UACGAACUGUGCAAACGUUAUUCGGAAUCACUGGGCUUAAAGGGUGCGUAGGCGGCUAUUUAAGUAGGGUGUGAAAGCCCCCGGCUCAACCGGGGAAUUGCGCCCUAAACUGGAUGGCUGGAGUGAGGCAGGGGUGUGUGGAACUUCCGGUGGAGCGGUGAAAUGUGUUGAUAUCGGAAGGAACGCCGGUGGCGAAAGCGACACACUGGGUCUCAACUGACGCUGAGGCACGAAAGCCAGGGGAGCAAACGGG
rnacentral:rRNA from 1 species